AAAUUGAAGAGUUUGAUCAUGGCUCAGAUUGAACGCUGGCGGCAGGCCUAACACAUGCAAGUCGAACGGUAACAGGAAGCAGCUUGCUGCUUCGCUGACAAGUGGCGGACGGGUGAGUAAUGUCUGGGAAACUGCCUGAUGGAGGGGGAUAACUACUGGAAACGGUGGCUAAUACCGCAUGACGUCGCAAGACCAAAGAGGGGGACCUUCGGGCCUCUUGCCAUCAGAUGUGCCCAGAU
rnacentral:rRNA from 2 species